AGCCCAGAGCCUGAAUCAGUGUGUGUGUUAGUGGAAGCGUCUGGAAAGGCGCGCGAUACAGGGUGACAGCCCCGUACACAAAAAUGCACAUGCUGUGAGCUCGAUGAGUAGGGCGGGACACGUGGUAUCCUGUCUGAAUAUGGGGGGACCAUCCUCCAAGGCUAAAUACUCCUGACUGACCGAUAGUGAACCAGUACCGUGAGGGAAAGGCGAAAAGAACCCCGGCGAGGGGAGUGAAAAAGAACCUGAAACCGUGUACGUACAAGCAGUGGGAGCCUCU
rnacentral:rRNA from 1 species